UUAUCCGGUCGUCGGGAUCCCCAAACGAAGUUCUUUUUACCUGCACUGCUCCGUCUCUGGAGUACGAGCUUGUCUUCCUGAUGCAUGGCCCCAACUGGCUGGGUGCUGCGCUCUUCCUUGGGGUACAGCUCCGAGCGCUGUGGCCUGUGGCAGCUGUGGAAGUUCACACUGCCAAGGAGGUGGAUGCUGUGAAUGGAACUAACCUACGCUUAAAAUGCACCUUUUCUAGCAGCAGCCCUAUUAGCCAGCAGCUGUCAGUGAUCUGGAACUUCCAGCCUGAGGACCAGAGCUCUCAUGAGCCAGUAUUCUAUUACCUCAAGGAGCCCUACGAGAUGACUACUGGGCGGUUUAAAGAGCGAGUCACCUGGGAUGGGAAUAUUCAGCGUAACGAUGUUUCCAUCGUUAUCUGGAAUUUGCAGCCCUCUGACAACGGGACAUUCACAUGCCAGGUGAAGAACCCACCAGAUGUUGGUGGCACAGUUGGUGAAGUGCGACUCAGAGUUGUGCAGAAAGUGCAUUUCUCAGAAAUCCACUUCCUGGCAGUGGCCAUUGGGUCUGCCUGUGUUCUGAUGAUCAUUGUGGUGAUAGUUGUGAUUUUCUGUCGACACCAUCGGAAGAAACAGCAAGAGAAGAGGACUGAGGUGGCAGACACAGAACUUACCGAAAAGGAGAAGCUGCAGAUUGGAGAAGAAAAGGAAGCCACUCCAUUAGACGACUAGAAGUCUUUAACAGUACAUACAAUGCAGGUUUUUGUUCAAACAUUCUCUAUUUCAUGUCCCGGGGUUACUGCAGGCUUUCAAAGAAGGUUUUACUUAGGUAUUUCACCUCUAUUCACAGUCAACAGGUCAUGGUGGCCAUAAACACAAACUGCUGAGACCACAGUCACACUCUGCUCAUGGAGGAGCCUUCAGAGAGAGAAUGCCAACUGAAUGGGCAGUGGAGACAGAACUUCCUCUUAACCCUGGAAGAAGUUUCUCCACCUUAGUGUUGAGGAUCAUUGGUACUUCUAAAGCAGAUGGUGACAGCUUGUAAUUUCAGAUGUUAAGACACAGCUGAAUUACAGACGACUGAUGCUGCAAGUGUGGUAUCCCUGCUCAACCUGAAGUUCUUGCAGGAAAAGAGGGUGACAUUAACAUAAGUCGCAAGGUGUUAUCUGCUCUGAAGAAGAAGAAAAAUCCCCAAAGAGUUGAUCAAAAUGCCAGGAUACCUAGCUGGAGAUUUGCAAACCAUCCAAGCAAACACACACUCUUGCACCUUAAAAAGUAAAUGGUACACUUGGGUUGCCCUGUUGUGCGUCCCUCACAAACUUCUUUAAUGUCACUAGAAAAGAAGACUGUGUAGAUGAGGCAUCAGAGGAGCAGCUAGUUGCUAUAAGGUAUUUUAAAUUCCUUUGCUGCUUUAAAUGGAAAGUGCUACAGUUUGGGAAUGUAUGCGGUUUAACAGGGUUUAGCAACGAAUGUGUUUUUUAUAUUGAUCUUUUUUAACUCCGCUAAGCUUUGUAAAAUACGGUAGCUGGAAACACUGCCUUCCCCGGAGCAGACUGUGGCUUUGGCCGCUUGCCCCCUCUUCCCACUCCCUCCUCCCCUGAGCUCCUUCGCAUGCCGCUGCUCCCCGAGUGGUUUCACGCUAGUCACCGAACUCUGAGGCGCAGCGGGACGCGCUCCCCGCUCGCCAGCGCGUGCAUGGCCGGCGGUGGCUGUGGCCGUCGGAGCGCGGGCCGCCCCGGGCGCGCUGACACGCCGCAGUUUAAUCGGGGAUCAGCGGGCAGCGGCCGGCAGCGCUGCUUCAGGCUUCCCGAGGCAGCACUCUUAUCUCACUUUCUCUAGAUCAUAUUUAUUGUUCCACGCUAAUAACAUGAAAGCGCAUCUUACUGCUGCCUUUGAUACCUCUCCUACAUCCUCUUCGCCUCGGCAGACUUCAUUAGACCGAGACAAAGCCCCGAGCCAUUAAAACCAACCUGUAUUUCACCAGCGCUAAAUCAAAGUAUCAGCCUGUCUGUGUAAAGAGUGUCCUUAUGACUUUAUGACUUUGCCUGUAAUGUGCUGGCCACAUUAUCUGUUUGUACGUUUUCUUCUUCUGUCAAGUGUGUUAUAAAUAAACCUGGUUUGCAGACAGAA